AUAUUUACCUGACUAGAAAAGAAGAUAUCUUGCUUCUGUCUAGACGAAGUGCGUCUGGCAGUUUAUACGUGAGAUCAUACUUGUAGAUGUGCAAGCACAUGUCAUUCCCUGUGCUACGAUGGCCUGUGGGGCCUCAAGGUAUAUUACUAGUGUUAUUUUUUCUGCCGUAUGCAACGAAUGGAGGAAAAAUGUCUCAAGCGCCAGGUGUUGUUUAUCCGCAUCUCAUCGAAAGCCGCAGUGACGAGGUUAGCAAGGUCAUAAGAAUAGCUGAAAACAUCACGCUGCACCUGAAGAAAAGCUCGCUGUUAGGAAAAGAGUUUUUGCUGAGGACUUACCAAGGUGACGUUAUGGAACAUAACUAUCUUGACGGUGAAAUACUAGAAGAAAAUCUUUACCACGACACUCAGUCAUUUGCGUCAGUAAUUGUAUCAGACGACGAUGGGCUGAAAGUGGAAGGUAUUAUAAGCCCACAUCAAGGCAUAAAACCAUUGUACUCACGAGAAAGAAUGAGACAAAGAAAUGUUCCUCAUGUUGUCUAUGCACUUGCCUCCGAAAGGUU
rnacentral:lncRNA from 1 species